CCUACGGGAGGCAGCAGUAGGGAAUCUUCCACAAUGGGCGCAAGCCUGAUGGAGCAACACCGCGUGAGUGAAGAAGGGUUUCGGCUCGUAAAGCUCUGUUGUUGGUGAAGAACGUGCGUGUGAGUAACUGUUCACGCAGUGACGGUAUCCAACCAGAAAGUCACGGCUAACUACGUGCCAGCAGCCGCGGUAAUACGUAGGUGGCAAGCGUUAUCCGGAUUUAUUGGGCGUAAAGCGCGCGCAGGCGGUUGAUUAGGUCUGAUGUGAAAGCCCUCGGCUGAACCGAGGAAGGGCAUCGGAAACCGGGCAACUUGAGUGCAGAAGAGGACAGUGGAACUCCAUGUGUAGCGGUGAAAUGCGUAGAGAUAUGGAAGAACACCAGUGGCGAAGGCGGCUUUCUGGUCUGCAACUGACGCUGAGGUUCGAAAGCAUGGGUAGCGAACAGGAUUAGAUACCCGGGUAGUC
rnacentral:rRNA from 1 species